UUCUCUUCCUCUCAGCCGAUAAAACUAGAUCGAGUUUGAUGAAUCAGUUUCGAUUCAGUUUCUUCAUCAUCUAUAAUAGGAUUUUUAGGGAUUCAUAAAUCGAUUUUAGGGUUUCAGUCUGUAUUAUGAUUCGAUUUUAGUUUGUUCGUCGGAGUUCGCACUUGGAAGAACUGAUCUUCACUCUCAGCUAAUCAUGAGAAAGCAUCUGUUCUACUUUGUUUAAUUUAGGCAUCUAUUUUUGGUUUUGAUUUCGAUUUGUUUUCAGCUAGAUUUAGGUAUUUGUUUUACGGUUUCUUGUUCAAUCGAUUAUGAGAUUUGGGUUUCUGAUUUAGGGCAUUUUAUUCAGAUGCAGAUGGGAAUGAAGUUCAUAAGUUAACUGACAAGCUACAAGGGGUUGGGAUUGGUUCUGGAUUGCUUCUGGUAGUGCUGAUGGUGCUGUUCUAACUACUUCUAAGUUCAGGUUAAAAAGUAGAGGGAGUGGUCAGUUUUAUGUGGAUGAUGCAUUUGGAAGGGGCUUGAUUGAGUGAUACUGAGAUUAGCAGAAGGAGAAGUUUGCUGGGGAGGCUUAAUGUCGUAUAAGCAAUUUAUUCAAGAGCUUGAAGAUGACAUACUGCUGGCUGAAGUUGAGCGCAGGUAUCAGGAAUACAUAUCAGAGUACAUUUCUACUCAGAAACGUACUUUCUUUGAUGCACACAAGGAUGACGAGUGGCUAAAAGACAAAUAUCACCCAACAAAUUUAGUAUCAGUUACUGAAAGGAGAGAUCAAUUUAGGGGUCUUGACAAAGAUAGAUCUCAUGGAUAAGGGUACUGACGUUGUUGAUGGAGUGGGAGUAUUCUGCAAGUACCCUUGAUAGCUGGUGCUCUCCAUGUUCUGCAUUAUUCCAAGAUGGUAAGAAAAAGGUUCCCGAUAGUGGGUCAUGGAAUUACAACAUCAAUGGAGUGAAGCAUAACACUAAUAUGACGUGCGGGAUAAAUCUGGGAUCGAUGGUGCCACUAAGAAUAUCAGCUCGUUUGGUGGGAUACCUUCUAUCAAGAAAGGGUUUGAAUAUCCUUCGGCAUGGAAGUCCCCUUGGCUUAUGAACUAUCUAUGAACUGACUGGCAUCUCUGAUUGUUGCUUUUCAAUGUUGUAAGUUUUGUAAGUUACAAUGUAGGAAGUUUCUAUGAACUCGGCAAGUUUUUUAACUUAGAAUUUGAUAUUUACAAGAAUUUUGGUACUUAGAAGAAUUUAUGUUCUUCUUUGAUCGAAAGCUAUAUGAAUUGACUGAAUGUGAUGUGACUGAUGGAAUG